CGGCGGUCCCGACACUGGGCGGCCCCGGCACGGCGGCGGCUCCGGUACCGCUGUGACUUCGGAGCAGUUCAGCGGAGGAGGAAGCAGCGGGAGCAGGCAGGCAAGCGGCAGUGGGACUGCGGCCCCCUCCCGACCUCGGCACCCCCAGCCCACACCACCGCCACGCAACCGGAGGGGUUUGCUGGGUGGGGGAGUAAAUUCCCAAAGGUUUAUGUUUUUUUUUUUUUUGGGGGGGGGGUCUGGGAGCGUAUGCAAUCCCCUGGUGGGAUGGGGCCGGAUUUAGGGUUUGCAAAGAACAAAGGAUUGGGGGUGUGGAGGCAGUGGAAAAAUACUGGCAGGGCGGUUGUAGGGCUGGGGGGCACCGUGCCUGUAGCAUCGCACUGCGCUGGGGGCUGUAGGGUGCACCCGUCCCUAUAGGAGGGAGAGAGGGGACUGAUCCCCCCCCCAUCUCCAGUCAUUGUACCGCAGCGUUGGGAGUACAGAGGGAAUGCAGGAUUUGGGAUGCCUGGAGUGCGGCAUGGGGUGGGAGGAGAAGAGCGUGUGCGUGUGUGCAUGGGCAUGAGGGUGCUAUGCGGGGACUGCGGGGUGGGUUUAGGAGUGCUUGUCCUCGUAAUGGGACUUUAGAAGGGCAGUGGGGGGGCACGGCGGGCAGAUGAGCAAUGCUGGGGGCUGGUGUUGCUUUCUGCCUGUUCUGGGGGUAGAAGUGCACGGUCCACUCGUGGCUCUGCUUGCACCCCUGUGCUGUGGCUGUGGACGGGGAUGUGGGGGCUCGGGGGGGUGGGCUGCAGGGGGCCUGCAGGAAGGCGUUCUAUUCCCAUACUGUCUGCUGCAUGACCGUUUCCUCGCCAAAGGAAACACUGACGGUGCUGCUCCACCAGCCAAAAUCUGUGUGGCUGCCGUGCCCCCCAGCUGCCCCCACUGCUGGGGCCAGGCAGAUGGGAGCCCUGCACUGAGGCUGUUGCCAGACUACAGCUCUUGGCGUGCCCCAUACCCAAUAUACCGCUGCCACAGAGACCCCAAGGCUUCACCUUGGCUUUCCUUCAGCCUGAUUCCAGCGGGGUUGAGGACAGAGGGACGCUUUGGCUUUGUCACGAGGCUCCUUGCCAGCCCCAGCUCUGAACAUACCAGCCAGGUGCCAGCUCAUCCCUGAGUCCCGUUCCCUCUUUUUUACCCAAAAAUGGGAGCUGUGCCACUCCCCACCCUGCUGCGAGUGGGUGGCAUCUGGGUGGGGACAAUGGAGAUCAGGGUGCAGGAUAAAGCCGAGCCUAUUUUUAUCCCACAAAGUAAUUACCACAGCCUUCCAGUCCUUAAUCUGCUGAGAGCACCCUGGCACGAUUGGGUCCCUCCCUGAGCCUGGCAACAGUGCUCCUGUCACACGUCUCCUGCGUCAGAGCCCAGUAAACUCCCACCCGUGGCGCCUCCAGGAACGGGAACGGGGAUCUCAUUUGGGGGCUGGGAUUGAGGUCUCACCUCUCACCCCUGGGUGUCCCAGUCCCCGCACCGAGACUGGUGGGGCUCCAGCUGGGUGAAAGCACUAAAUCCAGACUAUUUUCCCUAUGGCUGCCCCAAAAGGUUUCUACCUGCAGUGCACAGCUUCCACCGGGGUCGCAGGUCCCUCUCCACCGAGCAGGGGCGGCUCCGGCUGCCGGUGCCAAGUCCCCACUGGCUCCAUUCCCAGCCUCUCCCCAUCCCGUCACCCUGCUCUGGCUCGCUGAAGAACCUGUUCCAUAGCUCCUGCCACGAGUGGAAAUUAUGGGCUGUAUUUGGAGCAGUGCUUUUCACCCAUUGCGGAGGGACCGCUUCAUCCGCACAUCUGCAGCCAGCUCCAGGGAGGGAUGUUUGGGACCCCGUGGGACCCUCUGGGGACCUCACGUCACCGUUGUUGGAUAUCUGGCAGCAUCCCUCGCUCCGUCCAUCCCAGCACACAGCAGCAAGCACAAAGUAAAGUUAUCGGUGUGCCACACUAAGCCACUGCUGUCACGAGGCAGGAGCUGAUGUGGAACUUCAGGGUGACCCCAGCAAUGUCCCUGUCCCUGCCUGGCGGGACGCAGUGGGCUGUGAAACGUCUGCCAGCACCAAUGGCCAUAAAAGGUCCUGAAACAGAGAGCCCGGGCGGGAUCAUCCGGGAUGUGGGAAUGGGGCCCGGAGCAGGAUGGGGCGGUGGCACACAGUGUCCCUUCCCUGCUGCCCAUUUGGGAUCUGCAUCACCUCCCACGCGGGGCUCAGGGGGACAAUGCCACCCAUUCAUUGGGGCACCUGGGUGGUGGGAGCGAGGGGCACGCAGCGAGUUCCCCCCGACCCCACAGCCUCACCCCACAGACAAUGGCUGCCCUUUGUUGGGGUUUUCUGUGUCCGGCCCCCACCCUGCCACCCAGCUGGUGACAUUUACCACCUCCACGUUCACAAGGGGACUCAAAGGUCUUAAGAUGUGCUGUGGAAUCAUGAAGCACGGCUGGCCCCCUCUGUGCACUCUAUUUGGGGUCCACUGGUGGGGAAUGAGGGAUGAAGAUGAAAUGGGGACCCUUUCCAGUUUGGUGACAUUUGACCUUUUUGAGAUGGAUCCACUGCUGCCCUGGGGGUACCUCACUGUGACUGCAACAGCACGGAGUGCCAGCCCCUGUGGGGUAUGCCAUGUCUUCCAUCCCACCAGAAAGGUCCCUGCACCCAGCUCCUGCCCCCUCCCAGACCCCCAGGGCAGUUCCCCCAGGAGCCGGGCAAGCAGCCCUGUUCCUCCUGGCCACCUCCAUGGGGUCCUUGGAAACACAAACCCAUAAUAAGCAGGCAGCCUGAGAGCUUAGAGGGAAAUGAAUGCUUUAGGGUAAUUCAUAGGGUGUGUGGGGUCAUGAAAAUGAGCACAGCCGUGCACGGAGGUGGGUGCCUGCAGUACGCCGGGGCGGCUGAUCUGGAGCUGGAGUCCUGCGGGGUGCAGAUGCUGCUCUGCCCUCUGGCUUCAGUGCAGGCUUGGGGACACCCAGGGAAGGUGACACAGGGCACAAAGCCUGGGGGGUGCGAGGACACGGGGUGCACUUUGAAAUGGGAUGCACAUUACGUAGGAUGCAGAGUGCGCAUUACGUGGGAUAGGGGGUGCUCGCGUUAGGGAGGAUGAAGAGUGCAGCCCACCUCCCCCCUCUCCCCCGUGCUGCUCACGUUUCCCCACCCACCCCCUGCAGUUGGCUGACGCGGGCUGACGUCCCUAUAUUAUGCUGAUUUAUGCGAGUUAACCCUUUCCUCGCCGUACGAGGGGGCUCCGUUGCUGGGAGGGGGGGGGAUGGUCCCGGGACCCCGCCCGGGGCUGUCAUUGCCUCCCCACAACCCCCCCCACCCCUCCCCGCGGGUUUCCAUGAGAACAGGACCGGGAUGAUGUCAGCGGUUGCUACGCGACAGCGUGAGCCAACAGAUGGAAGCUGUGCUCCGAGCAUCUCCUCCAGCCCAUGGGAACUUCAUUCCCUCAUCCAGCAGAAGCCACAGCGCUACCAUUCCUGCUGCUGCAGUUUGGGACCGGCAGUGAUGCUGUGCACCCAGCCAUCACCCUCUUGCAUGGAGUAACCUGGUGGGGCUGCUGAGGUCUGAUUUGCCCAUAAGAUGUAGGGUUGGGCUUCCGCUGUGCUGCAGGUGGGAUGCUCCAUUGGUUACUCUGCAUCCUCUGAGUGUGGAAAUCAGGCUGAGAGCCUCUAAUCUCAAUCCACUUGGACAGAAUUACCAUCCCUAAUCUCCCAUUCCUUGGGUGUCCCCAGGGCUCUGUUAACACCUGGAGCUGCCUGGGAUCUGUGCUGCCCCAGAGUGGAUUCUAUGUGGACAUACUAACAUGCGUGGGUUCACUGAGUCUGUUAGCAUCCCCUAACAUAGAAUCAUUACGUUUGGAACAGACCUUGAAAAUCACCAACUCCAACCACCAGCCCACCCCCACCGUGCCCACUGACCACAUCCCUCAGUGCCACAUCCACGUGGUUCAUGAACACCUCCAGGGCUGAUGACUCCACCACCUCCCUGGGCAGCCCGUGCCAAUGCACCACUGUUCUUUCUGAGAAGAUGCAGGGAGAGCACCUCACCCCAUGCUGGGCUGUGUGGGACCCCAUCUCCACUAUCCCCACAUCUCUAUCCCUCAGCCUGGCCAUGUGCCGGAGCAGAGUGCACAUAGAGACGCCCUGCAAAGGGCUUCAGGGGCACACACAGACCCCACUGUUCACUCCUCUCCCUCUGGCUUCUGUCCCUACUUGCUGCCGUGCUGUGCUUCGUGGUGAUGCUGUUGCUCUUUAUGGCUGGUGGGGCUGAUCUUGAGUGAGUCAUUAUGUGGCAAAUGGGAUCCAAUCAGAGUGACAUUAUUUCCUCGCCCGGUGUUCUUUGCAAAUGAGAUUUUGCAGAACUCGGAGCAUUUUUUUUUUCCUUCCAGCCAAAGGCCUCUUCCCAACCCCAUUUAAAAGCCCACCAAUUGGGUGUGGGAUAGAAUGAAUGUUUACCACGGGGCACACGGGGCAGCGAGCUAAUAAACAUGCUGGCAAUCAAUCCUGGCAGAGCGGCUGUACCUGGAGUGCGCCGGUGCAUGCAGAGCUGCUGUGAGUGAGGGAUGGGGAGAGGCCAUCCCCGCUCCCCGAUGCUCAUUGCUGUGCUUUGGUGACUCACACGGGAGAAGGUUUGGAAAGGAAUAAACAGAGCCCAUAAAGUGUCUCACUGAUGCUUGGGAGGAUGCCCUGGAUCUGUGCUCUGUUUCAAUGAUCCAGGGGAGGUCAUGCUGGAGCUGAGCGAUCCCCAAAAUGCUACGGGUUGGGCGGCACAUUGUUGGCUGAUGGAAUGCUCUCUGGGAUCAGAACCAAGAGCUCUUUGCCAAGGGCAGCUCUAGGGCAGGAGAUGGGGUUCCACUCCGGUGCUCACUGGUGUCAUGGGCCUUAUCCCUAGGAGACCCUUUCCUGCCCAUGGCUGAGAGCAUCCCCAGGUCCUGAUGGAACCCUGUAAGAGCCCUGUGCUCCUGCCAGGUGCAGAGGCACUUGUCUGUGCCGGCCCUGAUUAGCAGA
ensembl:lncRNA